GAUGAACGCUGGCGGCGUGCCUAAUACAUGCAAGUCGAGCGAACAGAUGAGGAGCUUGCUCCUCUGACGUUAGCGGCGCACGGGUGUGUAACACGUGGAUAACCUACCUAUAAGACUGGUAUAACUUCGGGAAACCGGCGCUAAUACCGGAUAAUAUAUUGAUCCGCAUGGUUCAUUAGUGAAAUACGGUUUUUCUGUCUCUUCUAGAUGGAUCCGCGCCGCAUUAGCUAGUUGGUAAGGUAACGGCUUACCAAGGCGACGAUGCGUAGCCGACCUGAGAGGGUGAUCGGCCACACUGGAGCUGAGACAUGGUCCAGACUCCUACGGGAGGCAGCAGUAGGGAAUCUGCCGCAAUGGGCGGAAGCAUGACGGAGCGACGCCGCGUGAGUGAUGAAGGUCUUCGGAGCGUAAAACUCUGUUAUUAGGGAAGAACAAAUGUGUAAGUAACUAAGCACGUCUUGACGGUACCGAAUCAGAAAGCCACGGCUAACUACGUG
rnacentral:rRNA from 1 species